rnacentral:rRNA from 1 species
AUGGCCGAAAUUCAAUCACCGUCUCGGCGAGCAAUUCUUGCUUCUGAAAUUCGAUCCGAGCUAGAGCAUCCAGUCGAGCCGGUUGGUGGGCGGCGGGGGCGCGCCGGCGGAGGACGCGGUGGAGCUGUCGGUGGUGGUGGAGGAGGAGGAGGACGUGGUCGGCAGCGACGACAGCAGGUCGAACAUCUCCCACCGCGUCGUCUGCGCCGGGGGCUGCGGAGGCUGUUGCUGGCGUUGGCGCUGCGACUGCGGCUGCGGCUGCGGCUGCUGCUGCUGCCUCGCCGGCGUUGGCUGUGGCGCCGCCUGCUGCGGCUGCUUCUUCGCGCUGGCGGGUUUGGGCGCGAUGGCGGCGUUCUUGGCCAUGACCGCGUCGAGCGUCUCCACGUACUUCUGCACCCGCUUCACCUGCACACGCCUCUGCGCCUUGACGUCGCCGCCGGCGACCACCGCGUCCAGCUUGAGCAGCUCGUUCAUCAGCAGCUCCGUCACCGUCGCCACGUCCUUCUCCGCCACCUUCUCCCCCUUCCGCACCGACGCCUCCAGCGCCGACACCUGCCCAGCAAAAUCAACCACCGGUCAACUCCUCUGCUCUGCUCCCAACCCCGGCUCGGAAAAACACGGACCGGCAAUGCGCGUACCUUGGGCGCGAUCUUGUCGACCUCGGCGGCGACGGCGGCGACGGCGCCGGCGGCCUUGCGGAGGCUGCCCUGGCGGAGCUCCUCGAGCAGCCGCCGCGCGCGGGCCUCGGGGUCGUCGACCACGGCGACCUUGGAGCGGUCCCUCACCCCCGCCAUGUCGAGGAACGCCUUGGGGUCCUGCUCCUUGCCCUUGUACAGCGUGCGCAGGUCCUCCGGGUGCGCGCCGGCGCGCUCCGCCACCCGCCUCCGCAGGUCGCCGAACGUGGCCUCCGCGCUGACGUAG